rnacentral:rRNA from 1 species
AGUGAACGCUGGCGGUAGGCCUAACACAUGCAAGUCGAAUGGCAGCACAGUAAGAGCUUGCUAUUACGGGUUGCGAGUGGCGGACGGGUGAGGACUACAUCGGAAUCUACUUUUUCGUGGGGGAUAACGUAGGGAAACUUACGCUAAUACCGCAUACGACCUACGGGUGAAAGCAGGGGAUCUUCGGACCUUGCGCGAUUGAUUGAGCCGUUGUCGGAUUAGAUAGUUGGCGGGGUAAAGGCCCACCAAGGCGACGAUCCGUAGCUGGUCUGAGAGGAUGAUCAGCCACACUGGAACUGAGACACGGUCCAGACGCCUACGGGAGGCAGCAGUGGGGAAUAUGGGACAAUGGGCGCAAGCCAGAUCCAGCCAUACCGCGUGUGUGAAGAAGGCCUUCGGGUUGUAAGACCCUUUUGUUGGGAAAGAAAAGCAGCAGGUUAAUACCCCGCUGUUCUGACGGUACCCAAAGAAUAAGCACCGGCUAACUUCGUG